rnacentral:lncRNA from 1 species
UCACAUUUUAAAAAUAGUGUACAACAUAUAGAAUCUUACCCAAUACUGACCGUAAAGUCUGUUAUUUGUGUUGUAGAAACAAAGUCUUACAUGAAAGCUAGCCUUAUUAAAUAAGAUAUAUUCAUAUUUGAAAGACCGUUGAUCUUACUGAUUUCGGUUUGACUAGUCUGAACUUGUUCGUCACACACUUGUUUUUGACAUUUUAAAUUAUACUUGGAACAAUUAACGCGGGAAAAAAACAAGAUUAAGCAAUACUGUGACUCUAGAACCAAUGCUUUUAGUAUUACACGAAGGGAUUUUGAGACAGAAUGAUAGUAAAAAAGCAGUAAAUUAAAAACUGCCGCCGCAAAUCCAGGUGUCGGCCAUGUUUGUG